UACAGAGGGUGCGAGCGUUAAUCGGAAUUGCUGGGCGUAAAGGGCGCGUAGGCGGCGGGGUAAGUCGGGUGUGAAAUCUCAGGGCUCAACCCUGAAACUGCACUCGAUACUGCUCUGCUUGAGGACUGGAGAGGAGACUGGAAUUCACGGUGUAGCAGUGAAAUGCGUAGAGAUCGUGAGGAAGACCAGUGGCGAAGGCGGGUCUCUGGACAGUUCCUGACGCUGAGGCGCGAAGGCCAGGGGAGCAAACGGG
rnacentral:rRNA from 1 species